UUAUAAUUAGUGAUUAUGCUUAAAGAACAUUAAUAUUAUAGGGAAAUGAAUGAAAUGUUCCUAGCAAUUGAUGCUGCUGAAAGGCAGAAUUUGGAAUUUUUUAUAUUUUCCAAAAAUUGCCUGAAGCGCACACACUGUGUCAGAAGGGCAAGACAAACUUUCUUUUUCCUUAGUGAUAUAUGUUUAUACUUCUUUGCACCAACCCACGAGUGGCUGGGCAUUCAUUCCGAAGAUGCCACUGCUUACGCGAAGAAGCGUGGUGGUAGUCUACCAAAAGUGGGGCUAUGAAACGUGGAAUGAAAAUCAGCUGUUCUCACUUCCUACUAAAAAAUAGUUAACUCCAUCUCACUAAGCAAGAGACUAUCUGCCAUCAGAAUUCAAGUCCCAGUCAGUGAUUAGCUAUUAAUGCUUAACAGGAUAUAAAUGCACAAACCACACAAUCUGUUGAAAUUUUUUUUGUAUUGUGAAAAGGAAAAGGACACUUCACAUUUUUAAACAGUUUAUUCAUGAAUGGUUUAAUUUCCCUUUAAAGCUAGAAAAUAAAGAUCAUUUACCUUCUGAUCUUUGUUCUUCCAAAUGGUAAUAAGCAUUGAUCCUUCCCUCUAAUAAAGGUGAAAUUUUUAAAAUCUCAGUGAAUAGGAAUGUGCAAAGCUCUAAGAAAACUAUUACUUGAAUGUCUCUAAAGUGGCAGAAGAUCACAAGUUGGGAAUACCCUCAAAAACUAUAUUUUUACCCUACUGUUAAAACUUGUUUUCAAAGUGGUGUAAUCUGAAAGAUUACAGUUCAAAAGUAAUUCCCAUACCAAAUAAUAUCAACUUUAGGUGAACAUCUAAGUAUUUAAGAGUAUUAUUUUUCUUGGCUGGGUGCGGCAGCUCACACCUAUAAUCCCAGCACUUUGGGAGGCCGAGGCAGGCGGAUUCAGGAGUUUGAGCCCAGCCUGACCAACAUGGUGAAACCUUGUCUCUACUAAAAAUACAAAAAUUAGCCGGGCUUGUUGGCUCACACCUGUAAUCCCAGCUACUCAGGCGGCUGAGCCAUGAGAAUCACUUGAACCCAGGAGGCGGAAGCUGCAGUGAGGUGAGAUCACACCACUGCCCUCCAGCCUGGGCAACAAAGCAAGACUCUGUCUCAAAAAAAAAAAAAGAAAGAAUUACUUUUCUUUGAUCGGAAUUUCUGAAUUUCAUACAUUUUUCUUCCAAGUGUCUUUUUUUUUUUUUAAGGGAACAUACCACACACUCAGAACAUAAUGUCUUAGCUUCUUGUAAAUAUAAGAAUGGGAGAAGUUAAGGUACAUUAGUUAUAGAACGAAGGAAGCUAGUGCAUUCAGUGUCACAUAUGAACUCAAGGCCUUAGUUACUUGAUUGUAAUUUCAGUAUUAGCAACAGUGUAUUUCCCUCAUGCUUACAUACAGGUAGACAAAGCAAAAACUUCUAAACAUAUAAGGAAUGAAGACAAACAAUUUAAUCUCUAUAUUAUCAUAUUAUCAGUCAAUUAAUACAGUUGGACUUUCAAACUAUAACUGUUGGUAGUAAAAUAAUCUGAUCACAUUUCAUACAGCAAUUAAAAAUAACAGAAACAGAGUCUCACCUAUACAAUCAGAGCAUCUCCUGAUAUGAACAACAGUUAAGCCCACAUACGUUUUAAAGAUGCUACCCAGACUACAAUCUAUCUCAAAAGCAACCAUGGCAUAAUGCAUUUUAUAAAAUGCCUACCUAAAAAUACAUUGUAUUUUGUAAUGUUUAUUUAUUACCAAUGUGGGAGGCAUGUCUAGCCUAAACACUAUAACCAAACUAUUUAACAGUAAGCCGGUAGUAGUCUUACAAUAAGAAAUUUCAUAUAUACUUGUUAUUAUAAAUAGCAUUUUAUGUUCAUUAUUUCAGCCAUCUCUCAAACUAAGACAAUUUUCAACAGUUACCAGAAGACACUGAGCUAGAGUCAACAGACCAGAUAUCCAGUUCCAGCUCUGCCUCUACCUACCUGUGAGACACGGGGAAAGUUCUCUUAACCUUCGUAAGGCCUCAGAUUUCUCAACCAUAGAACAAAGGGGCUGAACAAAAUGAAUUCUAAAGAGCAUUCCCAUAAAACGGGAUUUGGCUAAAUUUUCAAGAACUUAAUUUCUUUAAAAAAAGAUAGCUAUGAUACACCAAACUUGGUAUUUACCACCAAUAAUAUUGAUUAUAUAAGAGCUUUAAGCCAAGGAAUUACUGAUUCUGCACUUAUGGGGUGAAAAUAUAAGACUAUUUUUAGCAUGCUUUUCCAGUUACCAGAAAAGGGGAGGGGGGGAUUUUUACAAAGACAGUAAAGCAUACAGCAAUGGCAGUAAAGCAUGCAGCAUAGCAUGCUAGUAAUGGAUAGGCAUUACUUGUGUUUCCUUUUAGGAACUUUUGCACACAAGCAAGAGGUUUUAUAAAAGAUACCACAGCGCCCAAUAACACAAUAUGUGUGAUCUGACAAAUUCAAAACACAGUUGAAAUGAAAAGGCAACCAAAAUACUUCAGAGUACUUCAUUCUUCUAUAAAAUGUGUACACAGACCUGGGCCUAAAAUACUUCACUGCACCACAUCCAGUUCUAAAAUCCAAUUUCCUUUUCAGGUAGAGCGCAUCUUUUAAAAAAAGAGCCAACACCUAUGUUUAAGAAUAAAAAUUCACUUGUACUAGAUUGUAUGUAGCUAAACACUGGAUCUAUUUUCUGAUUCCAAAAUUUUCUAUCCUAGUAUGAAUAAAUGAAGAAUAGGACAAACCUAAGUGCAGGAAAGUAUCAAACCCUGUAACGCAUACUUAUACUGAAAAUGUGUUUCACAUGGUUAACAUUUGCAAAGGCUAAAAUCAUUUUUCAUAAAGAAAAUUCCACAGGCUUGCUCAGUAUUACCAAACUUCCAUAAUGAACAUUAUUUUGAGUGCCAAAUUGAGCACGAAAAAACACCUACUUUUAACUAUUAUGAAAUAUUAUGAAAAGUAGUAAGACUUAUUUAUUAGGCUGGUUAAAAAGUAAUUUAAAACCAAAGAGAGUUAAAUCUUCCUUGCGAACAUACUCUCAGAACUUAAGAAUGGGGUAAAUCAGAUGGAGCACAGCCAUGCUGUACACAUCAACUCACUGAAAUCACAUAACUUCUAUUCUCAUGGACCUUAUUUUCUAUUAUCUUGAAAACAAACUGAUUAUAAUCUCCCAAAAUACCAGUAGUACCUUAAAAUUUAAUCAACUCCUUUCCUUAACAGAAUUAGGACUUUCAAUUAAAAAUACUGUAAUAUCCAAGAGGGUUUCAAUGCAAGAGAAACCUUUGCAUCAUAAUUUCAAGUGACCAUAUAUAGUGGAGUUCCCUCUAAUAACACGACAGACACAAACAAGCUAUCGAGCAAGAAUCUGUUAACAGUUUUAUUUUUUUUUAUGUUAAAUACCAUGGGACAGGAUUGUAAGGAUGAAAAACUCAGUCAACAACUGCCUCACAAGGGAUAAGAAAAAUUCUGCCAUGAUAUUAGCAAAGGUAAAGGAGGAAAAAUUUACACUGUAAGAGGCACCAUUUCCCCAAGGAAUACCUCUUGGCAUUUCCUGAAUGAGUGGGAUUAGCAAUCUAAAUAAAUCAUAUUUCAAGAGGUAACAGCAACAGAUAAAAUUUAAAGGGAUUAUUAAAAUAACAUUUACAAGACUCUGAACAAUUCUUGAACUCUUAUUAAAACCACAAAGAAAGAACAAUUCUUUAUUUAUGAAUUUCAUAAAGGACUCAAUGUGCAACUGACAUCUGCUAGUGAUGAUCUGGUAAUAUACAACCUGUCCAGUAGCCGAACAGUUUGUUUUUAUUGUGUUUUCUAACCGUAAGAGAUCAUUAAAGGCAAAGCCUAUAUGAAGCUGUACACACAAAAAAAUGGUCACCGUGGGCCAUACUACCAAUGAAAUGGUAGGUAAACAAAUCUUUUUCUGGUCAAGAGAAAAAAAAAAAAGAAACAGCACUCUGCAUGCUUCACUCUACAAGAUGAAUUUCCCUAGAAAGAAUCCAAUGAAAAUGGCUGCAAUUACAACAAGAAGUGAAGGAAGAGGACUGGUGACAUUAUCUCUGAAGGAUGCAGUUGAGGUUGAUCCAGGUGCCGAUUUUCUUCUGAUAGCUUCAUCAUUUCUCCCUGAAGUCUUUUACACUCUUCCAUUAGUUUCCUUGUUUCGGUAUCAUUAAGUGAAACACUGUGUGGUUUUGGCAUAGGUCCAUCUUGCUUAGAUGCAUUCAGUGGAACAGCUUUGCUAGGUUCCAUGUCAUUCUGCAUUACAA
rnacentral:lncRNA from 1 species